AUUCUUUCUGGGAAAGCAUUGGCCUAUCUGGAGCACGCGCUCAAAACCAAAUCAGGCAAUCCUGACGCCAGAAUCGCUGAUUAUUUCGACGUCGCGGCCGGGACAGGAAUAGGCGGCAUCUUUACGGCCAUGCUUUUUGGCAGUAAAGAUCAUAACCGUCCGAUUAUGAAAGCAGAUGACACUUGGAGGUUUUUAGCUGAUCAUGGCAGGAAAAUUUACCGUUCUGGUAAUGGCAGUGGAGGAGGUGGUGGAAAUGGUCGUGGUAGCGGCGGAGGCGGCGGGGGUGUUCUAAAGCGGUUAUUUAAAGGCGGUUCCAGUACGACCGCCGCCACAUCCUGUCUAGAGAAAGCCAUGAAAGAAAUGUUUACGGAAGAAGGCCGAAGCUUAACUCUUAAAGAUACGUUAAAGCCGGUUCUAAUCCCAUGCUAUGAUCUUUCAAGCACGGCGCCGUUUCUGUUCUCAAGAGCCGAUGCAUUAGAAACCGAUAGUUUUGAUUUCAGGCUCUGGGAAGUCUGCCGGGCGACAUCAGCCGAACCGGUUUUAUUCGAGCCGAUUCAAAUGCUGUCCGUUGAUGGUCAGACCAAGUGUCUAGCGGUUGACGGCGGUUUGGCUAUGAGCAAUCCAGCAUCUGCAGCAAUUACGCACGUGCUGCAUAACAAGCAAGAGUUUCCGUUCGUGAGAGGAGUGGAAGAUUUAUUAGU
rnacentral:misc_RNA from 1 species